GCUCAGAUUGAACGCUGGCGGCAGGCCUAACACAUGCAAGUCGAGCGGUAGCACAGAGAGCUUGCUCUCGGGUGACGAGCGGCGGACGGGUGAGUAAUGUCUGGGAAACUGCCUGAUGGAGGGGGAUAACUACUGGAAACGGUAGCUAAUACCGCAUAACGUCGCAAGACCAAAGAGGGGGACCUUCGGGCCUCUUGCCAUCAGAUGUGCCCAGAUGGGAUUAGCUAGUAGGUGGGGUAAUGGCUCACCUAGGCGACGAUCCCUAGCUGGUUUGAGAGGAUGACCAGCCACACUGGAACUGAGACACGGUCCAGACUCCUACGGGAGGCAGCAGUGGGGAAUAUUGCACAAUGGGCGCAAGCCUGAUGCAGCCAUGCCGCGUGUAUGAAGAAGGCCUUCGGGUUGUAAAGUACUUUCAGCGAGGAGGAAGGCAUUGUGGUUAAUAACCACAGUGAUGACGUACUCGCA
rnacentral:rRNA from 1 species